rnacentral:rRNA from 1 species
ACUUAAGCAUAUCAAUAAGCGGAGGAAAAGAAACCAACAGGGAUUGCCUCAGUAACGGCGAGUGAAGCGGCAACAGCUCAAAUUUGAAAUCUGGCCUCGGCCCGAGUUGUAAUUUGUAGAGGAAGCUUUUGGUGCGGCACCGACCGAGUCCCCUGGAACGGGGCGCCAUAGAGGGUGAUAGCCCCGUAUGGUUGGACGCCUAUCCUCUGUAAAGCUCCUUCGACGAGUCGAGUAGUUUGGGAAUGCUGCUCUAAAUGGGAGGUAGAUUCCUUCUAAAGCUAAAUACCGGCCAGAGACCGAUAGCGCACAAGUAGAGUGAUCGAAAGAUGAAAAGCACUUUGAAAAGAGGGUUAAAUAGCACGUGAAAUUGUUGAAAGGGAAGCGCCUGUGACCAGACUUGCGCCCCGUCGAUCAUCCGGGGUUCUCCCCGGUGCGCUCGGCGGGGCUCAGGCCAGCAUCGGUUCUCGCGGGGGGACAAAGGCUCCGGGAACGUAGCUCCUCCGGGAGUGUUAUAGCCCGGGGCGUAAUGCCCUCGCGGGGACCGAGGACCGCGCUUCGGCAAGGAUGCUGGCGUAAUGGUCACCGGCGACCCGUCUUGAAACACGGACCAAGGAGUCAAGGUUUUGCGCGAGUGUCUGGGUGUAAAACCCGCACGCGUAAUGAAAGUGAACGUAGGUGAGAGCUUCGGCGCAUCAUCGACCGAUCCUGAUGUAUUCGGAUGGAUUUGAGUAGGAGCGUUAAGCCUUGGACCCGAAAGAUGGUGAACUAUGCUUGGAUAGGGUGAAGCCAGAGGAAACUCUGGUGGAGGCUCGCAGCGGUUCUGACGUGCAAAUCGAUCGUCAAAUCUGAGCAUGGGGGCGAAAGACUAAUCGAACCAUCUAGUAGCUGGUUACCGCCGAAGU